rnacentral:rRNA from 1 species
CUACGGGAGGCUGCAGUGAGGAAUAUUGCACAAUGGGGGGAACCCUGAUGCAGCAACGCCGCGUGGAGGAUGACGCAUUUCGGUGUGUAAACUCCUUUUAUAUGUCAAGAAAAUGACGGUAGCAUAUGAAUAAGCACCGGCUAACUCCGUGCCAGCAGCCGCGGUAAUACGGAGGGUGCAAGCGUUACUCGGAAUCACUGGGCGUAAAGGACGCGUAGGCGGGUUGGAAAGUCAGGUGUGAAAUCCUACAGCUUAACUGUAGAACUGCACUUGAAACUUCUAAUCUAGAGUAUGGGAGGGGGAGAUGGAAUUAGUGGUGUAGGGGUAAAAUCCGUAGAUAUCACUAGGAAUACCUAAAGCGAAGGCGAUCUCCUGGACGAAGACUGACGCUCAGGUGCGAAAGCGUGGGGAGCAAACAGGAUUAGAUACCCGAGUAGUC